rfam:Glomerella graminicola M1.001 genomic scaffold supercont1.17, whole genome shotgun sequence.
GGAUCGAUAGCUCAGUGGUAGAGCGAGAGAUUGCAGUACCGCGCAAGUAUCUCUAGGCCCCGCGUUCGAAUCGCGGUCGGUCCU